GUACCCAGACAACAUGGCGGGGCACUGGUCGAGGCCAAGCAGUGCAGAGGAGGAGGAGGAGGAGAAGAAGGAGGAAGAAGAAGAGGAGGAUCCAGCUGUUCUACGAUGGCCAUCAGAACUUCGCACAGGAGCUGGCCGUCAUUGUGGACCAAGAAGCCACGGCCGUCUCCCCUUCAGACCGGCUCAUGAACAUAAUCACCAUUGGACUGCAGCACGAACAUGUACGAAACGGAACCCCAGACCAGCGCCCCCGAGCCAGCCAUGUAUGAGACCGCCUAUGUCACCUCCCACAAGGACAAGUCUCGUGCUGCAGCCUUCUCCAUGGACGGGAGUUUAGUGGCCAUGGGGAGUGUGGACGUGUCUAUAAAGUACAUCCUGUCGUCGGGUCUGGACAGCAUUGUCAAGUUGUGGGAGCUGUCAACGGGCCGUUGCCUCAUUGGCUACACUGGUGCCGGCUCAGUGGGUCACAAUGGCCCUGUGCAACACAUGGUCCACUCACCCUGCUCGCCGGCCUUCAUCACCUGCUCAGAUGACUACCGGGCAAGGUUCUGGUACCGCAGGAAUGUCCACUGAAACCCUUCAACAAGACUUUGCUGAGGGUCAAGGGAAGGGCCUUUUAUCCAAUUUUUGUUUUAUAACAAUACAGUUGGGUGUUUCAGUUUGUAUGCACCUUGUAAUUAGUACUCAUGUCAAGAAUAAAAGUACCUUGGAAAAGUAAGCGGAAUUAAAAAUAGGAAUGUUUGUCAAAGUGAAGAAUGAUUAUCAAUGUGUAUUUUGACAGCAUUAGAUACUCAAUCUUUCUUAUGCUUGUCUAGUGAAAAAUAAAAAGAAGACGAAGA